rnacentral:rRNA from 1 species
CAAUAGCGUAUAUUAAAGUUGUUGCAGUUAAAAAGCUCGUAGUUGAAUUUCGGGUCCCCGCGCUCGGCGCUUCAUUGUGCCGUCGUGGUGUCCCUCCUCGCCGUAAGGCGUCCUUUACUGUGAAAAAAUUAGAGUGUUCAAAGCAGGCAAUCGCUUGAAUACAUUAGCAUGGAAUAAUAAGAUAGGAUCUUGUCUAUUUUGUUGGUUGCGGACAACGAUAAUGAUUAAUAGGGAUAGUUGGGGGUGUCCGCAUUGAGCUGUCAGAGGUGAAAUUCUUGGAUUUGCUCAAGACGAACUACUGCGAAAGCAUUCACCAAGGAUGUUUUCAUUAA